AGUUAAAUAGUCUAAUUUUAGGAUUUUAAAUUGCAAAUUUAAAGGUAAAUAUAAAUUUUUUAACUU
rnacentral:tRNA from 1 species